rnacentral:rRNA from 1 species
UACGGAGGGUGCGAGCGUUGUCCGGAAUCACUGGGCGUAAAGGCGCGUAGGCGGCCUGAUAAGUAGGGGGUGAAAUCCUGCGGCUUAACCGCAGGGGCUGCCUUCUAAACUGUCAGGCUGGAGCACAGUAGAGGCAGGUGGAAUUCCCGGUGUAGCGGUGGAAUGCGUAGAGAUCGGGAAGAACACCAGUGGCGAAGGCGGCUCACUGGCCCGAUACUGACGCUGAGGCACGAAAGCGUGGGGAGCAAGCAG